UACGUAGGGACCGAGCGUUGUCCGGAUUCAUUGGGCGUAAAGAGCUCGUAGGCGGCUGUUCAAGUCGAACGUGAAAACUCGGAGCUCAACUCCGAGCCUGCGUUCGAGACUGGAUGGCUAGAGUCUGGUAGGGGGAUCUGGAAUUCCUGGUGUAGCGGUGGAAUGCGCAGAUAUCAGGAAGAACACCCGUGGCGAAGGCGGU
rnacentral:rRNA from 1 species